rnacentral:rRNA from 1 species
AUUGAACGCUGGCGGCAGGCCUAACACAUGCAAGUCGAGCGUGAAAGUCCUUCGGGAUGAGUAAAGCGGCGGACGGGUGAGUAACGCGUAGGAAUCUACCUGAUAGUGGGGGAUAACGUCUCGAAAGGGACGCUAAUACCGCAUACGUUCUGAGGAAGAAAGCAGGGGAUCGCAAGACCUUGUGCUAUCAGAUGAGCCUGCGUCCGAUUAGCUAGUUGGUGGGGUAAAGGCCUACCAAGGCGACGAUCGGUAACUGGUCUGAGAGGAUGAUCAGUCACACUGGAACUGAGACACGGUCCAGACUCCUACGGGAGGCAGCAGUGGGGAAUAUUGGACAAUGGGGGCAACCCUGAUCCAGCCAUGCCGCGUGUGUGAAGAAGGCCUUCGGGUUGUAAAGCACUUUAAGCGGGGAGGAAGGCUCCAUGGUUAAUACCCAUGGGGAUUGACGUUACCCGCAGAAUAAGCACCGGCAAACUUCGUGCCAGCCGCCGCGGUAA